rnacentral:rRNA from 1 species
UACGGAGGGUGCGAGCGUUGCUCGGAAUCACUGGGCGUAAAGCGUACGCAGGCGGUUCGUUAAGUCGGGUGUGAAAGCCCGGGGCUCAACCCCGGAACUGCGCCCGAGACUGACGAGCUUGAAUUCGGGAGAGGGAAGCGGAAUUCCUGGUGUAGAGGUGAAAUUCGUAGAUAUCAGGAGGAACACCAGUGGCGAAAGCGGCUUCCUGGCCCGAUAUUGACGCUCAUGUACGAAAGCGUGGGGAGCAAACAGG